UAAGAAGCAAAUAGCACAUG
rnacentral:miRNA from 1 species